rnacentral:rRNA from 1 species
AACGAACGCUGGCGGCAUGCCUAAUACAUGCAAGUCGAACGAUCACUUCGGUGGUAGUGGCGCACGGGUGCGUAACGCGUGGGAAUCUGCCCUUGGGUUCGGAAUAACGUCGGGAAACUGACGCUAAUACCGGAUGAUGACGUAAGUCCAAAGAUUUGUCGCCCAGGGAUGAGCCCGCGUAGGAUUAGCUAGUUGGUGGGGUAAAGGCCUACCAAGGCGACGAUCCUUAGCUGGUCUGAGAGGAUGAUCAGCCACACUGGGACUGAGAAACGGCCCGGACUCCUACGGGAGGCAGCAGAAGGGAAUAUUGGAAAAGGGGGGCAACCCGGAUCCAGGAAUGCCGCGUGAGUGAUGAAGACCUUAGGGUUGUAAAGCUCUUUUACCCGGGAUGAUAAUGACAGUACCGGGAGAAUAAGCCCCGGCUAACUCCGUGCCAGCCGCCGCAGUAA